ACAUUGUUAGAAGAAUUAUGACAAAGCUGGGAACAAAUAAUCUAUAGUCCCAAUAUAGUUUAAAAUGCAGAAAGUCAAAGCGACCAUUUCAGCGCCUUGCCCUUUGCAAAGUUCUAACAAAAGCCUGCCUCAGAGCUCAUAAAGGUGCAGGGAGGCCAACGUUGAAGAGCAAAUUGCCGAAUUUUUAAAAUAUACUCCAGGGAAGCAAGGUGGUUCCAGAUUUAAGGUCCGAAUAUCAACUUAUUGGAAUCGGCCUAGUUAGCAUUUUUGUAAAUAUGUAUAUUAAAACACCCACAGCAAAAUAGAUGAAUUAAAAGUUGAUUAUAUGAAAAUUAAACUUUAGUUUGUAUUAUUGGAAA